rnacentral:rRNA from 1 species
UACAGAGGGGGCAAGCGUUGUUCGGAAUUACUGGGCGUAAAGGGCUCGUAGGCGGCCAACUAAGUCAGACGUGAAAUCCCCAGGCUCAACCUGGGAACUGCGUCUGAUACUGAUUGGCUUGAAUCCGGGAGAGGGAUGCAGAAUUCCAGGUGUAGCGGUGAAAUGCGUAGAUAUCUGGAGGAAUAUCGGUGGCGAAGGCGGCAUCCUGGACCGGUAUUGACGCUGAGGCGCGAAAGCCAGGGGAGCAAACGGG